AAAAAAACAACAAAACCUAAAACAAAACCUGGCCGUCCCUACCCUAUUCCAGAAUCAGGAAAAAAGAAAAGAGCGAGAGAGAGAAGAUGAUGAAAACGUCAAUGGCUUCCCUAAGGUCAUUCUCCGCGAGGUUCGUGGUUGCUCCGCUGAGGUCUAUUGUUCAGUUAAGGUUUGUCGGAACCACAAGCAAAGAGAGAUAGGCCGUAUCCCCGUAACCGAAGCUAAGAGAAAGUAAGGACCUACAAUCAAGGAUGUUGGGAAAGGUAGAGAUAGAGUUAUUUUCUAUAUUUUGCUCCCAUGUCUUGCUGCUUGCUUUGUUGUAUAUGUUCUUCCCGUUGGUUGUGCAGGGUGAAUGGGAAAAGGAGCUACCUUUGUUGGGUUUCUUGGUUCAAUAAGAAAAAGGAGGAAGCUUUAUACGUUUUUGGUCGUGCUUUCCUUGGGUUUCUUUGAGAGGUUGGUUUGACUGUUGUGGAGAGUUGUUGGUGGUCUUUUUGGGUUAGGAAAAGAUUCUGUUUAU